rnacentral:rRNA from 1 species
GAUGAACGCUGACAAAAUGCUUAACACAUGCAAGUCAACUUGAACUUCGGUUUGGGUGGCGGACGGGUGAGUAACGCGUAAAGAACUUGCCUCACAGUUAGGGACAACAUUUGGAAACGAAUGUUAAUACCUGAUAUUAUGAUUUUAGGGCAUCCUAGAAUUAUGAAAGCUAUAUGCGCUGUGAGAGAGCUUUGCGUCCCAUUAGCUAGUUGGAGAGGUAACGGCUCACCAAGGCGAUGAUGGGUAGCCGGCCUGAGAGGGUGAACGGCCACAAGGGGACUGAGACACGGCCCUUACUCCUACGGGAGGCAGCAGUGGGGAAUAUUGGACAAUGGACCAAGAGUCUGAUCCAGCAAUUCUGUGUGCACGAUGAAGUUUUUCGGAAUGUAAAGUGCUUUCAGUUGGGAAGAAAAAAAUGACGGUACCAACAGAAGAA